UGCCAGGUGGCGCCUCUGCUCGUCGCUCCAACCGCUCAGGGCGUGCGUCGUAAUGGGCCACCUCAUCAGACUCAUCAUGCCAAUAUCAGAAAACGCCCCGGACAUCGGCGAAGAAACAAGCGUCUGAAUCGUGACAUCACCACACCUGCCAAGAACAACACGUUUAUUAACCGUUUCCGUACCACCUAAGCUGGAAUAUGUAGGGAUACACACGCCAAGCAGUGAUCUAUGGACUCGCGAGAAAGUCCCCGUCAUUUUCCAAACGAACGACUGAGUCGAAUCGAUCGGGAACGUCACGACCCACUGUGCAGGAGCCAGGAUGCAGUGCAGGAGUGGCGAGACGCCAUUGGUGGAUGGGGUUCUUGGCUCGCAUCUAAUGGCGAAUAACGAAAGACCGUGAUUCAAUUAACACGGGUGAAGAAGGUGGAAAGCAAGGAGGGGCAGUUUGCGCGUUCCAGCGUGAGGUUGUGGGGAGACGAACCUGCGCGAUGCAGUCUUUGUUCUCAAGUAGUACAGGGUAGUACAGGGGAGGCAUAGGCGAAAUAACGUUUAUUCUUCAACAACGAGUCGAACACGUACGAUUUAAGAAUAGGUGACGUGCAGUGGCAGACCUAUACGUUGCCCUUUUCCAUUGCUUUCCUGAUACGAAUAGUGAAGUCUUCCUUUCCGUACAUACCGUGCUCGACAAAGAGAUCCCGACCGGUUAACCUUAACAACUGAACUUGUUAAAUACCUGAUGCCGACGAACUAAGCACCGUACGGACUACCAGAAGACAUUUGAAGAAGACGUCGGGACAACAUCCUGUUGGCAUUUGCAUCGAGCACGAAUACCUGCGAGAUAGAAGCAAGAUAAAA